rnacentral:rRNA from 1 species
GCAAGUCGAGCGGUAGCAUUCCUAGCUUGCUAGGAGAUGACGAGCGGCGGACGGGUGAGUAACGCGUAGGAAUCUACCUUAUAGUGGGGGAUAGCCAGGGGAAACCCUGAUUAAUACCGCAUACGCCCUAAGGGGGAAAGCGGGGGAUCUUUAGACCUCGUGCUAUUGGAUGAGCCUGCGUAAGAUUAGCUAGUUGGUGAGGUAAAGGCUCACCAAGUCUACGAUCAUUAGGGGGUCUGAGAGGAUGAUC